CCCCGCCCUUCGGCCACCGCAGCAGAGGCCACGCGUGACAUUUAGGACCACGCGUGACCACCGCGAUCAAACGACGGCUACGGUCUGUGUUCGUAGGGAAGUGAAGUCAGACCUCUGCUGGAUGUCGUGUGUCCCCUAGGACUGCGUCCUCCCGCGCAGACAGAGCUCCAGAGCACCACCCCACUGUGCCUCAUUCAGGAAGUGCUGUGAUCAAGAAACCACUACUGCUGCUGGUGCCAGGACUGUGAUUCCCAUCAACAGCACUGAUGGCCUGCACCUCACCUCUGACACCCAUGGGACUCUUGUAUGUGGACACCAGAAAGUCUGCUAAUUCUGGAACAAAAACCUGAAAUGUCUCCAUGAGAUGGACUGCUGAAAGAAAUAGAAAACCACAGAGGUGAGGCCUCCACCGUACUUCCAAAUGCUGUAUUGCACAUGGAAUGCAUUUGAUUUGUCAGAUCAAUCACUUUCAGAAUCCAAGCUGCAAAGGAGUUUUGGAAACACAGACCAGAGUUUUCCAGCCUCUGUCAGACGAGAAGGCUAAAAAAGAUUGGAAUGGAUGAUGGGCAUUCAUAUUCACAUAAAUUCGACUUCUAUAUA
rnacentral:lncRNA from 10 species